GAUGAACGCUAGCGGCAGGCUUAAUACAUGCAAGUCGAGGGGCAGCAGGACUGUAGCAAUACAGUUGCUGUCGACCGGCAAACGGGUGCGGAACACGUACGCAACCUACCCAAAACUGGGGGAUAGCCCGGGGAAACCCGGAUUAAUACCUCGUAACCUUUUUAAGUGGCAUCACUUGAUAAGUAUAGCUCCGGCGGUUUUGGAUGGGCGUGCUCCUGAUUAGGUAGUUGGUGCGGGUAACGGCCCACCAAGCCUGCGAUCAGUAACUGGUGUGAGAGCACGACCAGUCACACGGGGACUGAGACACGAGCCCGACUCCUAAGGGAGGAAGCAGUAAGGAAUGUUGAUCAAUGGAAGCAAGUCUGAACCAGACAUGCCGCGUGAAGGAGGAAGGUCCUCUGGAUUGUAAACUUCUUUUAUGAGGGAAGAAACCCGGAUAUUCUUAUCCGAUUGACGGUACCUCAGAAAUAAGCAACGGCUAACUCCGUG
rnacentral:rRNA from 1 species